rnacentral:rRNA from 1 species
CCUACGGGAGGCAGCAGUGGGGAAUAUUGGACAAUGGGCGAAAGCCUGAUCCAGCCAUGCCGCGUGUGUGAAGAAGGCCUUCGGGUUGUAAAGCACUUUCAGUGGGGAAGAAAGCCUUGGGGCCAAUACCCUCGAGGAAGGACAUCACCCACAGAAGAAGCACCGGCUAACUCCGUGCCAGCAGCCGCGGUAAUACGGAGGGUGCGAGCGUUAAUCGGAAUUACUGGGCGUAAAGCGCGCGUAGGCGGUCUGAUAAGCCGGUUGUGAAAGCCCCGGGCUCAACCUGGGAACGGCAUCCGGAACUGUCAGGCUAGAGUGCAGGAGAGGAAGGUAGAAUUCCCGGUGUAGCGGUGAAAUGCGUAGAGAUCGGGAGGAAUACCAGUGGCGAAGGCGGCCUUCUGGACUGACACUGACGCUGAGGUGCGAAAGCGUGGGUAGCAAACAGGAUUAGAUACCCCGGUAGUC